rnacentral:rRNA from 1 species
GACGAACGCUGGCGGCGUGCUUAACACAUGCAAGUCGAACGGAAAGGCCUGCUUUCCCUUGUGGAUUGCGGGUACUCGAGUGGCGAACGGGUGAGUAACACGUGAGUGAUCUGCCCCCAACUUGGGUAUAAGCCUGGGAAACUGGGUCUAAUUCCCGAUAGGACUGCAGGGUGGUGCCGGUGGGGGAAAACGAUUUUCUAGUGGUUGGGGUUGAGCUCGCGGCCUAUCAGCUUGUUGGUGGGGUAAUGGCCUACCAAGGCGGCGACGGGUAGCCGGCCUGAGAGGGUGGACGGCCACAUUGGGACUGAGAUACGGCCCAGACUCCUACGGGAGGCAGCAGUGGGGAAUAUUGCACAAUGGGCGGAAGCCUGAUGCAGCGACGCCGCGUGGGGGAUGACGGCCUUCGGGUUGUAAACUCCUUUCGACCGCGAGGAAGCCACCUGGUUGGAAGGGUGGUGACGGUAGUGGUAGAAGAAGCACCGGCUAACUACGUG